CCGGUCACAUGGCCAUGACAUCAUCACAGGUCCUUUAACUGGCUAGGAAAUAGCGUCUACUGUAAGCACACGGCUCCUCUACAGAUACAGGUUUCACCAAUCCAGGAUCCUCUGCUGAUAUCUUCUAUAUAAGAGAAUUCUCCUGGAUGACCCAUCAACCAUGGAGAGAGACAGGAACAAGAUGGCCGACAGGAUCAUAAACCUCACCCUACAGAUACUCUUCCAGCUUACUGGAGAGGAUUACACAGUAGUGAAGAAGUCCUCUAGUGGGCGUUGUCGGGCCCCUGUGUAUGAAGGAUGGGGAAGAACCCUGAGCCCAAUCCCGGGGCCCCCACCUCACUCCCUGAUACAUGAGGAAAUGGAUGAACAAAAGAUCCUAGAGCUCAUCAACAAGA